UGAGAUGGACCCGCGCUGGAUUAGCUAGUUGGUAAGGUAAUGGCUUACCAAGGCGACGAUCCAUAGCCGACCUGAGAGGGUGAUCGGCCACAUUGGGACUGAGACACGGCCCAAACUCCUACGGGAGGCAGCAGUAGGGAAUCUUCGGCAAUGGACGAAAGUCUGACCGAGCAACGCCGCGUGAGCGAAGAAGGCCUUCGGGUCGUAAAGCUCUGUUGUUAGAGAAGAACAUGGGUGAGA
rnacentral:rRNA from 1 species